AUGUAAGAAUUUCAAGGCCACAACUCCGUAUUUGAAGUAAAGUGCUCAUAAAAUUAAUUGCAAGGUUUUGAGAAGCCAUCUGCAGCUCACAACUAGAUGAGUGACACAAUCAGAUAAAAAAGCCUAGAGACAUUGAACUAAGAUCAAAUUAAAUGUAUUAAAUAUGGUAGAAAGAAGACAGAAUGAAAAAUAAUGUUAACAAUCUAGGUGAGGAAUUGCUGAGGAGACAAAUUAAGUAAAUACUGUGGAAGGAAAGAAGAAAGGAAGAAAGAGGAUUGGAUGGAAGAAUCUCCAUUUCUCAUAGGUGUAGUCCUUCCUUAGCCUGCUUUUUAAUGAGUGCUGCUAAAGCCCUUAGCCUGCCUGUUUACCCUUGGAGUGGAGCAAUUAACUGAAGAUAUUUGAGUGAGUUCAAGAGAGACUCAGAAGAGAAGAAUUGGAGGCAGCAAACAUACACAGCACUUUUAACGCUUUUCUUAUAUGCUGUAAGACAUUAAAGCAAUCUAUUGGGAUGAAAGCUGAAAGGAGAAGAGGGACAAGAGAGGUGAAUCCAUGGAAGACCCCCAAAAGAGGCUGCGGAUUCUUGGUGGACAGCUCUCAUAUCCCCUCCAGGGAAAAUGAUGAAAAAUGUCUUCAGAAAAAUAGCUUUAUGAAGGCAAGAGGAAUUUUUGCACCUGAAAGACAUGUCUGAAAGCUCCUCAGGUCAAAACACAAGUAGUCAAGAGAUUUGUCCAUCUAAUUCACCAUACUACUCUGAUCCAAGUGAGACCCACACUGGGUCAGCUCCAUCAAGGAGAAGAACAUUCCACCCACGUUUGGAUUCUGGAAUAUCAUCCCUGCUUCCAUCAGAUUCUUGUAAGUACCUCACUUUGCAGAAGGUAGAACAACAUGACAUUCAAGGAAGUCAGCUGUGUUGCCCAAGAGUAAGAGAAGGACCCUCUGAAGAAGAGCAACUUUUCAGACAGGUAGAGUGUGCCUUGCUCCCAAGGAAAAGAGUUCUUGACAAAAACAAAUGGGAAAUAUGGCUACAAGAAAACUGGGAAGACUGCAAGAAAAUCUCAGAAUCUGCUUGAGAAUCAUAUCCUCCUUCCUCCAUACACCCAUGGAACCCUCCCGAACCCUGUAUGCUGCUCACUAAUUCUGAUCAAGAUCUUCACCCUCCCUAUCCUGAAAAUUGCUACAACAUAAUUGUGUUUGGAUGUAUAAUUAAUAUAUACAAUACAUUUUAAAUGAAUAAAGUUGACAAAAACCUUACUUUUUAUUUGUUUUUCCUCAGAAUUUGAACAUUUCAUUUCAGGAUUUGGGGGAUCCUUACCAAGUUGAAGAUUUUAACAGAAUUCUUAGAAGACUAAUUCGAGUUGAAACCCUCUGUUACCAAAGAUACCUCAGAUACAGCAUUUAUCCUUGGCCGAAAACCACAUUGAGACUCUUACUGGAUUCUCCAGUUUACGGUGCACUCCACUGGAAUCCCUUAUUCUCAGGAGGAACCCUUAGUAUUCUCCUGUUUGCCAAACUUAAAAAUGCUGGAUGGAAUCUUGAAGCUACCAGAAGAUUGCUCAUCACCAGAAACCAAUAUUUUUUCAAAAAUAUGCCUAGUAUCCUAAUGCAGUCUGUAUAGAAAGAAAGCAAUCAUCAUUGUUGCUAAAAGCUAAUAAACACAGGAAAUGCAUGAUU
rnacentral:sRNA from 1 species